rnacentral:rRNA from 1 species
UACGUAGGGUGCGAGCGUUAAUCGGAAUUACUGGGCGUAAAGCGUGCGCAGGCGGUUCGUUGUGUCGGCGGUGAAAGCCCCGGGCUUAACCUGGGAAUGGCCGUUGAAACUGGCGAACUGGAGUGUGGCAGAGGGGGGUGGAAUUCCGCGUGUAGCAGUGAAAUGCGUAGAGAUGCGGAGGAACACCGAUGGCGGAGGCAGCCCCCUGGGCUAACACUGACGCUCAGGCACGAAAGCGUGGGGAGCAAACAGG